AGUGAACGCUGGCGGUAGGCCUAACACAUGCAAGUCGAACGGCAGCACAGGAGAGCUUGCUCUCUGGGUGGCGAGUGGCGGACGGGUGAGGAAUACAUCGGAAUCUACUCUGUCGUGGGGGAUAACGUAGGGAAACUUACGCUAAUACCGCAUACGACCUACGGGUGAAAGCAGGGGACCUUCGGGCCUUGCGCGAUUGAAUGAGCCGAUGUCGGAUUAGCUAGUUGGCGGGGAAAAGGCCCACCAAGGCGACGAUCCGUAGCUGGUAUGGGAGGAUGAUCAGACACACUGGAACUGAGACACGGUCCAGACUCCUACGGGCGGCAGCAGUGGGGAAUAUUGGACAAUGGGCGCAAGCCUGAUCCAGCCAUACCGCGUGGGUGAAGAAGGCCUUCGGGUUGUAAAGCCCUUUUGUUGGGAAAGAAAUCCAGCUGGCUAAUACCCGGUUGGGAUGACGGUACCCAAAGAAUAAGCACCGGCUAACUUCGUGCCAGCCGCCGCAGUAA
rnacentral:rRNA from 1 species